GACGAACGCUGGCGGCGUGCUUAACACAUGCAAGUCGAACGGAAAGGCCCUGCAUUUGUGGGGGGCUCGAGUGGCGAUCGGGUGAGUAACACGUGAGUAACCUGCCCCUGACUUUGGGAUAACUUUAGGAAACUGGGGCUAAUACCGGAUAGGAGCUCCUGCUGCAUGGUGGGGGUUGGAAAGUUUCGGCGGUUGGGGAUGGACUCGCGGCAUAUCAGCUUGUUGGUGGGGUAGUGGCUUACCAAGGCAUUGACGGGUAGCCGGCCUGCGGGGGUGACCGGCCACAUUGGGACUGAGAUACGGCCCAGACUCCUACGGGAGGCAGCGGUGGGGAAUAUUGCACAAUGGGCGGAGGGCAGAUCCAACAACGCCGCGUGCGGGAUGACGGCCUUCGGGUUGUAAACCGCUUUCGCCUGUGACGAAGCGUGAGUGACGGUAGUGGGUAAAGAAGCACCGGCUAACUACGUG
rnacentral:rRNA from 1 species